rnacentral:rRNA from 2 species
GACCUGAGCUCAGGCAAGAACACCCGCUGAACUUAAGCAUAUCAAUAAGCGGAGGAAAAGAAAGAAACAUCGAUUGUCAGAGUAACGGCGAGUGAAACGACAAUAGUCCAACUUGAAAAUCUCCCUUUGGAGAAUUGUAGUCUAUAGAAGCGCCCUCUGUGGCGGUCGGAUCCCAAGUUCACUGGAAAGUGGCGUCAGAGAGGGUGAGAACCCCGUCGGAUCUAGACUUAGCUGCUCCACGAGGUGCUUUCCAAGAGUCGGGUUGUUUGGGAAUGCAGCCCAAAAUGGGAGGUAAAUCCCUCCUAAGACUAAAUACCGGCGAGAGACCGAUAGCGAACAAGUACCGUGAG